GUGGGGAAUCUUGCGCAAUGGGCGAAAGCCUGACGCAGCCAUGCCGCGUGAAUGAUGAAGGUCUUAGGAUUGUAAAAUUCUUUCACCGGGGACGAUAAUGACGGUACCCGGAGAAGAAGCUCCGGCUAACUUCGUGCCAGCAGCCGCGGUAAUACGAAGGGGGCUAGCGUUGCUCGGAAUUACUGGGCGUAAAGGGCGCGUAGGCGGACAGCUUAGUCAGAGGUGAAAGCCCAGGGCUCAACCUUGGAAUUGCCUUUGAUACUGGCUGACUUGAGUUUGGGAGAGGUGAGUGGAACUCCGAGUGUAGAGGUGAAAUUCGUAGAUAUUCGGAAGAACACCAGUGGCGAAGGCGACUCACUGGCCCAAUACUGACGCUGAGGCGCGAAAGCGUGGGGAGCAAACAGGAUUAGAUACCCCGGUAGUCC
rnacentral:rRNA from 1 species